rnacentral:rRNA from 1 species
CCUACGGGCGGCAGCAGUGAGGAAUAUUGGUCAAUGGGAGGAAUCCUGAACCAGCCAUGCCGCGUGCAGGACGACGGCUCUACGAGUUGUAAACUGCUUUUGUACCGGGGUAAAAUGCUCUACGAGUAGGGUUUUGAAAGUACGGUACGAAUAAGGAUCGGCUAACUCCGUGCCAGCAGCCGCGGUAAUACGGAGGAUGCGAGCGUUAUCCGGAUUUAUUGGGGUUAAAGGGUGCGUAGGCGGAAUGCCAAGUCAGCGGUAAAAUCGCGGGGCUCAACCUCGCUCCGCCGUUGAACCUGGCGUUCUUGAGUGGGCGAGAAGUAUGCGGAAUGCGUGGUGUAGCGGUGAAAUGCAUAGAUAUCACACAGAACACCGAUUGCGAAGGCAUCUCACGAAUCCGCGAUUGACGCUGAUGCACGAAAGCGUGGGUAUCAAACAGGAUUAGAUACCCCUGUAGUC